ACGAACGCUGGCGGCAUGCCUAACACAUGCAAGUCGAACGAGACCUUCGGGUCUAGUGGCGCACGGGUGCGUAACGCGUGGGAACCUGCCCUUAGGUUCGGAAUAACUCCCCGAAAGGGGUGCUAAUACCGGAUAAUGUCUUCGGACCAAAGAUUUAUCGCCUUUGGAUGGGCCCGCGUUGGAUUAGCUAGUUGGUAGGGUAAAAGCCUACCAAGGCGACGAUCCAUAGCUGGUCUGAGAGGAUGAUCAGCCACACUGGGACUGAGACACGGCCCAGACUCCUACGGGAGGCAGCAGUGGGGAAUAUUGGACAAUGGGCGAAAGCCUGAUCCAGCAAUGCCGCGUGAGUGAUGAAGGCCUUAGGGUUGUAAAGCUCUUUUACCCGGGAUGAUAAUGAGAGUACCGGGAGAAUAAGCUCCGGCUAACUCCGUG
rnacentral:rRNA from 1 species